UACGUAGGGUGCAAGCGUUGUCCGGAAUUAUUGGGCGUAAAGAGCUCGUAGGCGGUUUGUCGCGUCUGCUGUGAAAACGCGAGGCUCAACCUCGCGCCUGCAGUGGGUACGGGCAGACUAGAGUGCGGUAGGGGAGAUUGGAAUUCCUGGUGUAGCGGUGGAAUGCGCAGAUAUCAGGAGGAACACCGAUGGCGAAGGCAGAUCUCUGGGCCGUAACUGACGCUGAGACGCGAAAGCGUGGGGAGCAAACAGG
rnacentral:rRNA from 1 species